UUGCCCGCUCCCACCUGGUUCCACGUCGGAGGCUGGCUCUUGGUUACCUAGGAGAUGCUUCGCAAUGCAAAUCCAGGGCCGCGGUGCAGACCGCCAGGCUCCUGUGCUGUGUGGGAGGAGUCAAUCUGGUUGUGUGUUGACAUCAGCGAAGUCAGCUCUGAGGAUUUGGCUGUGGUGGACCAGGCCGAGGACUUAGCUUUCAUGGUAGUGGAGAAGAGCUCAGAGCCAGUUGAUAAUACUGUAAACAAGCAAGCACCACUGAUGUUGGGGACCAUUGGCUGUAUGGUGUCCUGAACAUGUCAGGCUAGUACAAAGAUGAGCUGGUCGUGUAGUCACAGUAGGAAGGACCUCUGACCUGUUUGACACUCGGGGAUUGGAGGGCCAUGUAGAAAUUGCUGUGUCAAAGAAUGGUCAUGAGCCCGAGUGAAGCCUUCAGAGGACACCACCUUCUGAAUCAGGUAAAGACCGGGCUCCGAGAGGCUCUGACCUCCAUCCCACAGCCCUGGUUUUUUCCAGUACCCAUUGUCACUUUCUGCUGAGCGAUUGGAAGGCCUGGUCUAGAAGGUCUUCUCCUAGCCUGACCCUUGGACUGAACCAUCAGCCCAGCGUCGAGGCCUCAGCCUGACUGGCAAGAGCAGCCCUGGGUGAAGUGCAGUGGGCAAACAGGGAGCUCACAGAACCAAACAAGCUUCCGUCCAAGCCUCCGUGAGUCUUAGGUCAACUCAGAACCGAGUCAUGGUCAUGACUCAACAAAACCCACUUUGGAAUCUGGACGUUCAAGAGAGGAGCUUCCAGCACCUUAUAAAUAUUAAUUAAAAGACUGCAUCCUGAAGGGCUGGGGUAAUUACAAAAGAGCUUCCCCGGGCCCGCUCCAGUGGCUUCAGAGAGUUCUACUUGGGCCAGUGGUAACAAUAGCAAGGUGCCGUCUGAAGAGCAGCAGCGCAGAAGGCUGGGCGGGCUCCGGGUGCUCCCUCUGCUAGGUGACACGUGGGACAGUCAACAGU
rnacentral:sRNA from 1 species